CACAUGCAAGUCGAGCGGAGACAGUGAGUAGCUUGCUAUGAGCUGUUUUAGCGGCGGACGGGUGAGUAACGCGUGAGCAACCUUUCCCAGACAGGGGAAUAACACACCGAAAGGUGUACUAAUACCGCAUAAGACCACGGGAUCACAUGGUUCUGGGGUAAAAGAUUUAUCGGUUUGGGGUGGGCUCGCGUCCGAUUAGGUAGUUGGUGAGGUGACGGCCCACCAAGCCGACGAUCGGUAGCCGACCUGAGAGGGUGAUCGGCCACAUUGGGACUGAGACACGGCCCAAACUCCUACGGGAGGCAGCAGUGGGGAAUAUUGGGCAAUGGGGGGAACCCUGACCCAGCAACGCCGCGUGGAGGAAGAAGGUUUUCGGAUCGUAAACUCCUGUCCUUGGAGACGAGUAGAAGACGGUAUCCAAGGAGGAAGCCCCGGCUAACUACGUGCCAGCAGCCGCGGUAAUACGUAGGGGGCAAGCGUUGUCCGGAAUAAUUGGGCGUAAAGGGCGCGUAGGCGGCUCGGUAAGUCUGGAGUGAAAGUCCUGCUUUUAAGGUGGGAAUUGCUUUGGAUACUGUCGGGCUUGAGUGCAGGAGAGGUUAGUGGAAUUCCCAGUGUAGCGGUGAAAUGCGUAGAGAUUGGGAGGAACACCAGUGGCGAAGGCGACUAACUGGACUGUAACUGACGCUGAGGCGCGAAAGUGUGGGGAGCAAACAGGAUUAGAUACCCUGGUAGUCCACACUGUAAACGAUGAAUGCUAGGUGUAGG
rnacentral:rRNA from 1 species